UACGUAGGGUGCGAGCGUUAAUCGGAAUUACUGGGCGUAAAGCGUGCGCAGGCGGUCUGUUAAGACCGAUGUGAAAUCCCCGGGCUUAACCUGGGAACUGCAUUGGUGACUGGCAGGUUUUGAGUGUGGCAGAGGGAGGUAGAAUUCCACGUGUAGCAGUGAAAUGCGUAGAGAUGUGGAGGAAUACCGAUGCGAAGGCAGCCUCCUGGGCCAACACUGACGCUCAUGCACGAAAGCGUGGGGAGCAAACAGG
rnacentral:rRNA from 1 species